rnacentral:lncRNA from 1 species
CGUUGCUCCGGGUUUACCCCGCCUGACUCGCUGCGCUAUGCGUUCCCUCACGCCUGCCGGAUGCCAGGCGGCGAUGUGCCAGGCUCUGAGGGGCCGCGAGCUCACCCCAGACGCCGGCCCCGGGAAUCCUCUGCUCCUCCACUUUCCCUUCCCGCUACUGGUUUCUUGCCCACCCACUCCCAGGUGUCACUCUUGGGACAUCCAGAUGUUCUGACAUUUGACCUGACUCCAGCCUCAGCGCGAGGACGGGAGAAGGGCCAAGGAACCCAAAUCCUCAGAGCUGAUCGAGAAGCGCGUGUUGUUGCAGAAGUCACUGAGGGGCAGACCUGGAAUGUGAGCCGUGGGGCGAAGGGACAGCUCUGGAGACUCGUGAUUCCGGAACCCGGAUGAUCCAGAACAGACGGUGAAGAGACAAAACAGCGUGAAAGGGAGCGGCGAUACCUAAACUGACCUCCGGAGGGCAGCAUGAUCAAGGGAAGGAGCUGUUCUCGCUCCGCUCAAACCCCCGCGCAGCCUCUGCAGCUUACUCCUGCUUCGGAAGGCGGCGAGGUUCCACCCCCACCACCCCGGUCCCCGCCGCCCUCUUCGCGCUGAAGCUGCGGAGGGUCUUUUUCUUCAGCCCCCAAAUCCUCUGCUCUGUGGCUUAAGAUUCCCAGGCUUAAACCCAUAACUGCUAGGGUCAUCACUCCUCAAACUUCUCCCUCACUUGUUUUGCUGAUGACGGACACAGGGGCCUCACAGACUCAGAAGCAUCUGGAGUCAUUUCGAAGGACAGAACUGUGGCAAUAUCCUCUUUCCCCCUCCUAAUCUCUGAGAACAGUGUCUGUAUAUGGCACGGGGGUCCCUAGUGUCAUAUAGAAGGACUCGGAGAUGUCCUCAUGGGCUGUAACGGCCCCCGGUGCUAUUCAGGGAUCUCUGUUCUUUAAAGAAAUAUCAUUUCCCCUUAUUUCUCUACCUUUGUGCCCUCACCUCGCCCUGAAUUGUUUCUUAAACUGGGCUUUCUGGGAAA